GUGCCAAAACAUAAUGAGUAAGGAAAACCAAUUUUGCCUUGCUGAUAGCUUGGCAGUUUGGCUUCUAGGCAGAGGGACAUAACCGCGCGACCUCGUGUCGUCGGCGUUCCUUGAAGCUCAAUUUUUGACAGGGCACAGGUCGUCCCCUUUUGGAUGCACCAAGCGGCGGACCGGCGCCUACUUUGUGUCCGGGCUGCUGUUUGGUCAUUUUGGGUGUAGCGAUCUGCCCG